rnacentral:misc_RNA from 1 species
GUAAAAGUCAUCUGGACAUGUACGUUAAAGCACAGAGGGAGAUGAACAUUGAGCAAUUGUUGCCGGUGCCAUUGGGACUGACAGGACCCUCUUCGAUUUCUCAUCUAUCAAGGUUGAAUGCUUGGACCCUUCUUUUGCUUUUUAACCCAAGAGACCGCCGCCUGCUUCUAUGUUCUUGGCUUCUUUAAACACCCACUUCCCCUUCUGGGCUUUUCCAUUACAUUCUACUUUCAUUUGAUUUUCAUUUUUCGGCAGACAAGAAAAAUAAACAAGUCUUUUAAAUCUCUGUAAGUGAUAAUUGUAAGCAAAUUACAGCAAGAAGAAGAGAACUCGAAUAACAUUACCAUGUCUGCUCCAUCUCCCACUAUUCGUCCUUUUACACCAUACAAGAUGGGGAAGUUCGAUCUUUCUUAUAGGUUUGGAUAGAGUUGAGAUCCAUGGGUCUCAUGGUUACCUAAUUGAUCAGUUUAUGAAAGAUAAGGUGAACGGUCAAUACUGAUCAAUAUGGUGAUCUCUAGCUUUGGAGGUAGUUGAAGCUGUAGGCGAAGAGAUGGGUGUAGAUAAAGAUGGCGUCAGAUUAUCUUCAUUUGCAAACUUUAUGGAAUCUGGAGACUCAAAUCCUGAAGCUUUAGGAGUUCACAUGGCUGAAUCCUUGAAUAAAUAUGGAAUUCUUUACUGCGACAUGGUUGAGCCAAGAAUGAAAACAGUUGGAGAAAAAUCUGAAUGUCCAGACAGUCUUCUGCCCAUGAGAAAGGCUUUCAAAGGGACUUUUCUUGCUGCUGGAGGUUAUGACAGGGAAGAUGGAAAUAAAGCCAUAGCAGAAAACCGAGCAGAUCUCGUUGUUUAUGGCCGUCUUUUCUUAGCCAAUCCUGAUUUACCUAGGAGAUUUGAGCUUAAUGCUCCUCUCAACAAGUACAAUAGAGAUACAUUCUAUAUUUCUGAUCCUGUAAUUGGCUAUACUGAUUAUCCAUUUCUGGAGGCCGCUAAUUAAUUUUCUGGUAAGAGAAUUGCUGUUUAUACUGUACGAUACUUGCCUUUCUAUCAAGAAAUUGUUCUUUCUGAUAGAUGAUGGAAGGAUGUAUCUCAGGAACAAAUAAAUUCCUCGUUUUUUUUUGUAGAAAUAACUUGUGUUUUGGCAUACACAUUUGCCCAUAUAUUUAUCUCAUUGAGCGGUUUAAAUUGGUAACAAA